rnacentral:rRNA from 1 species
UAACGCGUGGGUAACCUGCCUCCAUACAGGGGAAUAGCAGCUGGAAACGGCUGAUAAAACCGCAUAAGCGCACAGUGCCGCAUGGCACAGUGUGAAAAACUCCGGUGGUAUGAGAUGGACCCGCGUCUGAUUAGCUGGUUGGCGGGGUAACGGCCUACCAAGGCGACGAUCAAUAGCCGACCUGAGAGGGUGACCGGCCACAUUGGGACUGAGACACGGCCCAG